rnacentral:rRNA from 1 species
GAUGAACGCUAGCGGCAGGCUUAACACAUGCAAGUCGAGGGGUAUAGUUCUUCGGAGCUAGAGACCGGCGCACGGGUGCGUAACGCGUAUGCAAUCUACCUUUUGCAGAGGGAUAGCCCAGAGAAAUCUGGAUUAAUACCUCAUGGUAUGUGAGAAUGGUAUCAUUUUCACAUUAAAGUCACAACGGCAAAAUAUGAGCAUGCGUCCCAUUAGCUAGUUGGUAAGGUAACGGCUUACCAAGGCAACGAUGGGUAGGGGUCCUGAGAGGGAGAUCCCCCACACUGGUACUGAGACACGGACCAGACUCCUACGGGAGGCAGCAGUGAGGAAUAUUGGACAAUGGGCGCAAGCCUGAUCCAGCCAUGCCGCGUGCAGGAUGACGGUCCUAUGGAUUGUAAACUGCUUUUGUACAGGAAGAAACACUGGUUCGUGAACCAGCUUGACGGUACUGUAAGAAUAAGGAUCGGCUAACUCCGUGCCAGCCGCCGCAGUAACAC